ACAUCGCCGAGCCUGACCUUGGGUGGAAUACCGCCGCCAAUGCCAACCAUUAGUCCGAACCUAAUGGAAGGAAAGGUGGAGAUCAUGAAGGCGGCAACAGUGGCUGCCG